rnacentral:rRNA from 1 species
UACGAAGGGGGCUAGCGUUGCUCGGAAUUACUGGGCGUAAAGCGCACGUAGGCGGUCUUUUAAGUCGGGGGUGAAAGCCUGUGGCUCAACCACAGAAUUGCCUUCGAUACUGGUUGGCUUGAGACCGGAAGAGGACAGCGGAACUGCGAGUGUAGAGGUGAAAUUCGUAGAUAUUCGCAAGAACACCAGUGGCGAAGGCGGCUGUCUGGUCCGGUUCUGACGCUGAGGUGCGAAAGCGUGGGGAGCAAACAGG